CUUCAACGAGCCCAGCAGCAACGGCCGUUCACGGUCCUGGCCGUAGGUGGCCAGCAGCGCCUGGGCCUC
rfam:Streptomyces sp. CB02056 scaffold11, whole genome shotgun sequence.